CUAACUCCGUGCCAGCAGCCGCGGGUAAUACGGAGGGUGCAAGCGUUAAUCGGAAUUACUGGGCGUAAAGCGCACGCAGGCGGUUUGUUAAGUCAGAUGUGAAAUCCCCGGGCUCAACCUGGGAACUGCAUCUGAUACUGGCAAGCUUGAGUCUCGUAGAGGGGGGUAGAAUUCCAGGUGUAGCGGUGAAAUGCGUAGAGAUCUGGAGGAAUACCGGUGGCGAAGGCGGCCCCCUGGACGAAGACUGACGCUCAGGUGCGAAAGCGUGGGGAGCAAACAGGAUUAGAUACCCUGGUAGUCCACGCCGUAAACGAUGUCGACUUGGAGGUUGUGCCCUUGAGGCGUGGCUUCCGGAGCUAACGCGUUAAGUCGACCGCCUGGGGAGUACGGCCGCAAGGUUAAAACUCAAAUGAAUUGACGGGGGCCCGCACAAGCGGUGGAGCAUGUGGUUUAAUUCGAUGCAACGCGAAGAACCUUACCUGGUCUUGACAUCCACGGAAGUUUUCAGAGAUGAGAAUGUGCCUUCGGGAACCGUGAGACAGGUGCUGCAUGGCUGUCGUCAGCUCGUGUUGUGAAAUGUUGGGUUAAGUCCCGCAACGAGCGCAACCCUUAUCCUUUGUUGCCAGCGGUCCGGCCGGGAACUCAAAGGAGACUGCCAGUGAUAAACUGGAGGAAGGUGGGGAUGACGUCAAGUCAUCAUGGCCCUUACGACCAGGGCUACACACGUGCUACAAUGGCGCAUACAGAGAGAAGCGACCUCGCGAGAGCAAGCGGACCUCAUAAAGUGCGUCGUAGUCCGGAUUGGAGUCUGCAACUCGACUCCAUGAAGUCGGAAUCGCUAGUAAUCGUGGAUCAGAAUGCCACGGUGAAUACGUUCCCGGGCCUUGUACACACCGCCCGUCACACCAUGGGAGUGGGUUGCAAAAGAAGUAGGUAGCUUAACCUUCGGGAGGGCGCUUACCACUUUGUGAUUCAUGACUGGGGUGAAGUCGUAACAAGGUAACCGUAGGGGAACCUGCGGUUG
rnacentral:rRNA from 1 species